rnacentral:rRNA from 1 species
UGGGGAAUAUUGCAAAAUGGGCGAAAGCCCGAUGCAGCAACGCCGCGUGGGCGAUGAAGGCCUUCGGGUCGUAAAGCCCUUUUUGAGGGGAUGAGGAAGGACAGUACCCUCAGAAUAAGCCUCGGCUAACUACGUGCCAGCAGCCGCGGUAAAACGUAGGAGGCGAGCGUUAUCCGGAUUUACUGGGCGUAAAGCGCGUGCAGGCGGAUUGGAGAGUUGGAUAUGAAAGCUCCCGGCUUAACUGGGAGAGGUCGUUCAAUACUUCCACUCUUGAGUGCAGUAGAGGGAAGUGGAAUUCCGGGUGUAGUGGUGAAAUGCGUAGAUAUCCGGAGGAACACCAGUGGCGAAAGCGGCUUCCUGGACUGUAACUGACGCUCAGACGCGAAAGCUAGGGUAGCAAACG